AACGAACGCUGGCGGCAUGCCUAACACAUGCAAGUCGAACGAGAUCUUCGGGUCUAGUGGCGCACGGGUGCGUAACGCGUGGGAAUCUGCCCUUUGGUUCGGAAUAACAGUUGGAAACGACUGCUAAUACCGGAUGAUGACGAAAGUCCAAAGAUUUAUCGCCAGAGGAUGAGCCCGCGUAGGAUUAGCUAGUUGGUGUGGUAAAGGCGCACCAAGGCGACGAUCCUUAGCUGGUCUGAGAGGAUGAUCAGCCACACCGGGACUGAGACACGGCCCAGACUCCUACGGGAGGCAGCAGUGGGGAAUAUUGGACGAUGGGCGAAAGCCUGAUCCAGCAAUGCCGCGUGAGUGAUGAAGGCCUUAGGGCUGUAAAGCUCUUUUACCCGGGAUGAUAAUGACAGUACCGGGAGAAUAAGCUCCGGCUAACUCCGUGCCAGCCGCCGCGGUAA
rnacentral:rRNA from 1 species